UGGAGUGAAGUGAGAAUUCGUGUUGAGAUUUCCUCCUCUUUCGUCAAGAUUAGAAGGAAAACCCGCAAGGGAAGAUCCGUCGCUAAUUUUGGUGAAGAAAUCGGAUGAAACUCGAGAUCUAAGAAUUUUUCCAAGAACUGAGGAGAGAGAAGUCAUCGGCGUGCCACGUGUCAAACAUCUAGAGGGCCGCGUGCGCCAAUCACCUUCAGACAUGCGUCGAACGCCGCCUGGGAAAACGCGGCUCCAACCUCCUUGCGACACGCGUCCACGGCAACACAACCCGACCAGCGACUGCAGAAAACCCUGGGCGCGUGGUACUCGCGCGUGGAACCCGCAAGUUGUUGUACCCCGACGCGUGGCUGGCGCGUGACCUAAUUGAGGAAAAAUUACCAUCUUCCGAUACGCCAAGUGUGUAGAAACGCUGCGUAAGGGCACGCGCCAUCCAGGUAAGUCACCACACGGAAUUUUAGGAAGUAAUACUUGUACGAAUCGCUUGGAAUGCAUGCAUGCUAGUUUGAAUACCUUAGGUUGUAGCUUUCCGUUAAUGAUCGUAGGUAAUAAAUUAUUGGAAGUAAGAUGUAAGUUGUGAUUUGUUAUGAGAGUUACUUGGGUACUGCUAAUAUGCUUUUAGAUUCCCACUUAUUAUGCCUAUAUAUAUGUUCAUGCUGAAUGGAGGAUGGGAAAUUGCGAACUCUGCGCUCCGGGAGUUCAUGGAUGUUAUCACCACGUUGAGCUUGUAUGUUUACUUUGCAUGAAAUGUGUUUGAUGAUUUUGGAUCAUAGUUAUGUACGUACUCAGUUAAUUUUUAUGACUCGCGAAUAUGAAUAAGUCUAGGGACUCUUGGUUAGAGUAACCAGGUACUAAGGUAUUAGAUCUAAUCCUUUCCCUAGUAGAGCAACAGACCACCACGGUGUAUGAAGCCCACUAGGAUACCCUUAGGCUACUGGUGUGUGAUUGGUGUCAUAGCUUCGUGGGG